rnacentral:rRNA from 1 species
UACGUAGGUGGCAAGCGUUGUCCGGAAUUACUGGGCGUAAAGGGUGCGCAGGCGGACAUUUAAGUGAGAUGUGAAAGACCCGGGCUUAACUUGGGCAGGGCAUUUCAAACUGGGUGUCUUGAGUGCAGGAGAGGAGAACGGAAUUCCUAGUGUAGCGGUGAAAUGCGUAGAGAUUAGGAAGAACACCAGUGGCGAAGGCGGUUCUCUGGACUGUAACUGACGCUGAGGCACGAAAGCGUGGGUAGCAAACAGG